UUAGGUGCGUUCUUUAAAUGUCCUGAGGGGGAGAUUGGAGAAGCAGACAUGCAACUGUGGGAAGAAAACCAAAGGGAUAAAGUACUCAUAGCAUAAAUCCAAAGUUGGCUCAGCCAGCAGGCCUCUCUGUAGGGUGCAAGUGGACAGCUGAAAAGGGACCUCCGGAAGCUACAGCUGGCGACUCCCACUUUGCCUGGACUGCACCAAGAACACACGAUGGGGUCUCAGCAGGAAGUCUACUGCUUGGACCUCAGUAAAGUGUACUAAAACUUGAACUGUGUCUUACAUACCUGUGAUCACUACAAGAAGAUGGCCCAAGACCUGGCCGAGGAAUAGAAGUAAGACACUUCCAGUUCUCAGAGAGAAAUCCUCUUCUAUGAGAAAACGGCCCAGGAAGGCUGGGCGGCCACCUUAUCUACUGAGAGACCACUCCAGGUACUCUGGAAAGAAAGUAAAUGCAACAGGCAGAAGCUGGCUGACUGAGAGGCCAAGUUCCAG
rnacentral:lncRNA from 1 species